AGGAGAAUGUUCCAAAAUGUAAAACAGGAGAUCGCGGUUCUUGCAAUUAUUUUCUCCUUUGCUUUUAUUUUCCGGUAAUGUUGAAAGUGUAAGUCAAAGAGGAAUUCCAAUAUUGUAAACCCUGAAGCAAGGCACAAUAGGAGUAUUCGGAAGAUAUCCUGUGCUGCCAAUCUCUCAGAGAAAACCCCCAAAACAUUGCAGCAUGCCACACAGGCUGUUCGAUCAAAGAGGCCAGCUGCCUACACAAUGAAUUGUUGAGCUAGAGGCCAAUGGCUUUUCCACUCAUCCAUUGUCUUGAAGCAGAGGUGUCAUCAUAUGGGUAAGGUCAUGGUCCUUAUGUCUAUCUGCUAGAAAAGAUUUGUAGAAACCUGCAAGGAGUGGCACAAUUCAGCUGCAGCAAAGCAUCACAUUUGAUUCCCACAAAGUAUUUUCCUUGAGUGCCCCCUACUGUUAAGAAACUGUGUGCUCAUUUUCAUAACCCAAAACAGUUUCUCACCAAAGGCUGUGUAUUUAUCAUUCCUGCUGGCUUCAUUUUUAGAAUAUGAUCUACCUUGCUAAUAAUUCUAAUUCAAGCCCUCAGCAGCAUUUUUAAUAUUGGUUUUGCCUUCAAUGAAUUUAGUUCUCUUCAAUCCAAGACAAGUUACAAAAAGUAAAAUGUAACCUUUAUUAUUCAAAACUUUAAUCACUUUAUAAUUCUGCUGUGGAAAUUCUGUUGUGCGCAUAGUGCAGCAGAAUCCUAUUGAAAAUAAUGGGACGACAGACGAUUUUCCAAGCUGAAUAUUCUGUCAUGUGAUCAUAGCCCCAUGAUGAUCAUUCAGGAAUCUCCUGAAUAAACCUAACUGUGAGAAGGUCCAGACAGUUAACAGGAAUUUAUAUGCAAAUUAGAAUAAUAUUUCCAAAAGUUACACCAAACCCCAUGUUACAACUAUGCAAUUCUUCCUGGUCACAACAUAUUGGCCCUCAUUUACUGUUGCAAACCUGACAUGUCGGGUUGUGCGCCAGAUUCUGUCGCAUUGCUCCAGAUAUUCUGUCUGCGCCAGAUAUUGUGCCAGAAUUUGCCCCAGAAUUGAAAAAACCCCGACUAACUCUCCAACCCGAAAAGGGGGCGUGGUCACAUGGAAAUGGGGCGUGGUCUCCUAAAGGGGCAUGUCCACAACAUUUUCACAAAAAACAACAUAUUUACUAAGGUUUCCACAUAAAAUGUGGUGGAUUUCAGCUGAGGAAAACCCCACAGAUCAGAGCAUGUGUUAAAAAAAAAAAAAAAAAGCAAAGUGUAGGGAAAGGGGAAAAUGUAGGGAAGCCUUAGUAAAUACCAUGGAAAUUAAAUUGUAGGGAAUUAAAACCCACAAAGAAACCUACACUCCACUCUUAGUAAAUGAGGGCCAUUAUAUUAUGAGACACAUCGAAAAAAAAGUAAUAAUAACUGCUAUGCCCUUAGCACCAAAUUAAAGCAAUAAGUCAAAGCAGAAACAUCAAACAUAUACAGCUACUGAAGAAGGGGUCUCCCCGAAACACAUUUAGCUAACAUACCCUAUUCAUACAGAUCACUUAUACCAAGACUAUCAACUCCGUUUUCCUUAUUCACAUUUACAACAGCUGGAACCCCCUAUAACUGGGACCACUGUACAGCCACGAGGAAGCCGCCUGGUAUCACUGCCGAUCGUCUGCAUCCACUCAACGCUCCAAUUACCGCAUCUUUACCACCAUCACCACCGAUCUGGCCAGACGCAUCCCGUGUCAUACCUGGAGGACACCGGGAAUCCAUCCAUUGCGUGGAGGUUGUCAUUGAGCCCAGCCGUGCCAGUCUGCAGCAUGGAACCCAGCUUCUGCAGGGCUACCAUCC